GUUUGUUGUGAUUCAGUGUUUGACAGUUUUAAAAAUGGUUUAAAAAUUUAAAGUUUUAAUCGUGUGCCGAAUUAAAAUUUGCCAUAACUUUCCAAUGGUGAGAUGUCUUCCGGGAAAUGGAGUAAAUGAAUUUGACAUAACCUCAACAAAAAGUUUUAUAUUUAAGUGGGUGAAGAAAUUUAUCACUUAACUAUCUCCUCGUCCUCUGCACAUAGUUGGCGUUCCACAUUGUCAGCUAGGCUCAACAAUUUGAGGUGUGUCUUUAAUCGGUAAUGCCCAGUAAAGACAACUAUGCUUUAAUGCUGCUAUGAGCAAGUCCUAAAAUAUUCCCGAGAUUGACAUAAACAACUUGGCAUGUUUCAUUCCAGGAGAACUAGUUCACAAUAGGCAAAGUCUCUCUUUAGCCCACAGUCCAAUCCUAUGUUUGGCCAUCACAAAUGAUAGUUCUGGCCCCACAACCGCUUUAGCGCUGCUUUCUCAUGCUACCUGAUCUAUCACUUCAUUGCCAGGAAACUCAGAGUGACCCCAGAAUGCUCAUGCUGCCAACUUGUGAUGUUUCAAGACAAGACAGCUCAUUCUGCCACCAAUUUGGCAGCUUAUAAGGCGUAGAAUUGAUGUUUCAAGAUAAAACAGCUCAUGCUACCAACAAAUAAGCAGAGUUUAGAAAGCUGAAUGGCAGUCUAGAUGUAGAAAAGCUCAUGAUGCCAACAAGUUGGCAGCUUAUAAGAUGCUGAAUUGAUGUCUCAAGAUAAGACAGCUCAUGCUGCCAACAAGUUGGUAGACUUUAGAAGACAAAAUGAAAGUCUAGAUGUAGAAAAGCUCAUGCUACCAACAAUUUAGCAGCUUAUAAGCUGUAGAAUUGAUGUUUCAAGAUAAGACAGCUCAUGCUGCCAAUAAGUUGGCAGCUUAUAAGAUGCUGAAUUGAUGUCUCAAAAUAAGACAGCUCAUGCUGCCAACAAGUUGGCAAACUUUAAAACACAGAAUGGAAGUCUAGAUGUAGAAAAGCUCAUGCUGUCAACAAGUUGGCAGACCUUAGAAAACAGAAUGGAAGUCUAGAUGUAGAAAAGCUCAAGUUGGCAGCUUAUAAGAUGCUGAAUUGAUGUCUCAAGAUAAGACAGCUCAUGCUGCCAACAAGUUGGCUGACUUUAGAAAACAGAAUGGAAGUCUAGAUGUAGAAAAGCUCAUGCUGCCAACAAGUUGGCAGACUUUAGAAAACAGCAUGGAAGUCUAGAUGUAGAAAAGCUCAUGCUGCCAACAAGUUGGCAAGUAAUGCUUUGGCUGCGUGCUAUUAAUAUUAUUUUUAAUUUCGUCAGCUUUUCGAACUAUAUUAUAGGUUAGGUGGUAGAGCUGUCUCCCGACUGAACCUCGCCUAUUAAGUAAAUUAUGUUAAUUCAAGUGUAUUGUUGUUGUACGCAAAAUAAAGGCCUUUAUUAUUA